UACAGAGGGUGCGAGCGUUAAUCGGAAUUACUGGGCGUAAAGCGUGCGCAGACGGUCAUGUAAGUCGGGUGUGAAAUUCCUGGGCUCAACCUGGGGACUGCGCUUGAUACGGCUAGGCUAGAGGAUGGAAGAGGGUCGCGGAAUUCCCAGUGUAGAGGUGAAAUUCGUAGAUAUUGGGAAGAACACCGGUGGCGAAGGCGGCGACCUGGUCCGAGACUGACGCUGAGGCGCGAAAGCGUGGGGAGCAAACAGG
rnacentral:rRNA from 1 species